rnacentral:rRNA from 1 species
UACGUAGGGGGCUAGCGUUAUCCAGAUUUACUGGGCGUAAAGAGCGUGUAGGCGGCUCGAUAAGUCCGCUGUAAAAGUCCAGGGCUCAACCCUGGGAUGCCGGUGGAAACUGUCGGGCUAGAGUCCGGGAGAGGCGAGUGGAAUUCCUGGUGUAGCGGUGAAAUGCGCAGAUAUCAGGAGGAACACCAAUGGCGAAGGCAGCUCGCUGGAACGGUACUGACGCUGAGACGCGAAAGCGUGGGGAGCAAACCGG